GCCUUCGUGGUGUAGUGGUCAACACGUUCGACACGUAUUCGAGAGGGCGUGGUUCGACUCCCGGCGAGAGCA
rnacentral:tRNA from 1 species